AAAAUUAGAAUACCCCCCCCGCCCCCCCCAGUGUAGACUCUCUUUCCUUUCAUUCUUCUCUGUACCUCCUGAUAAGAACAGUUGCCUCCGAAGUCUGGAGCGGGUUCCUGAACGACCCCUUGACAUCAGGUCCCUGAUUUGUGAGUGCCUGGUGAAUCUAAAGUUUUAG
rnacentral:lncRNA from 1 species